UGUAGGUAAGAGGUGGAUGAGUAUAUUUUGAAGGGAGGAAUGAGUAAGCUUCUUGGGUUGGGUGGGUAAGAGAAAGGCAAGCUGAGGUGUAGGUGGGUGUGGGUAAGAGGUGGGUGAGUAAGUAUUAGGUAAGGGAGGGGACGAGGAAGGAAGGUAAGGGAGGAGGACAAGAAAGGAAAGGAGGGGUUGAUGGUAAGGGGUUUAGAGGUUGACGGAUAGGGGACGUUAGGUAAAGUAAGGUAAGGAGAGGGCAUAAGGUCAUGGACGAAAAAGGUAAGAGAGUAGUUGAAUAGGAGACAGAAGGUAUAGGUAAUUAGUUAUGUAUACAGGUAAAUAGGUAGGGACGUAUUAAGAUAGGUAAAGUAAGGUAGCAAGGUGAGAGGCAGGAAGGGAAUGGAAAAGGAAAGUAAAGAGUUGAAUAGGAGACAUAAGGUAAGGAAAGUAGUUAGGUAGACAGGGUAGGGAGGAAAAGGUAAGGGAGAUAGGGAGUUAGGUAGGUAGGUAAGGCGAGGGUAUAGGGAGGCAUUAGGUAAGGUGAGGCAGGCACAAGAUCAUGGAAGGGAAUGAGAGAGGUAGAAGUUAUGAAUGUGAGAAGGUAAGGAACGUAGAGAGGGAGUAGGAAGUUAGGUAGGUAGGUAAGGCGAGGGUAGGGAGGCAUUAGGUAAGGUAGGAAAGGGAUGAAGAAGGCAAGUGAAGAGUUGAAUGGGAGAUAGAAGGUAAGGUAUAGAUAGGUAGGAGAGAGAGGAAAGGAGCAUUAGGUAAGAUCUAAAAGGGUGAAGGGGGGAUAUAACACAUGUAAGGGGAAGGAUCUGGUAUCGCUAUCAAGGGGCGGCAUCAGCUAAGGGUCUGUCUGUUGGCCCACGUGCUCCUCCUCUUGUUGUUUUAGGUCUCACCACCACUACCACCACCACCACCACCAGGGCAGAGAGAGGCAGUGGGUGGCUGGCUGAGUGUCGUAACAUGUGACCGCUGGCUCUGGGUGUGAUGAGACGGCUAAAGUGUCACCGGUUCGAGCCUCACACCUCUAACUCAAGUCCAGCUGAUUAGUAUGCCACUCAGGUGCUCAUGUUUACCUGUGUGUUGCCAGGGCGCGCAGAACACACGGGGGAGGAGGGAGUGAGGGUUAGGUUAAGGGGGGAUUGCGUAGAAUUUGAAGACGUAUGGUUGAGAGUAGGGAGGAAGGGUUAGAUUAAAAGGGGGAUUGCAUGGUUGAUAGAAGGAAGGGUUCGAUUAAAGGGACAUUACUUAGAAUUUGAAGACAUGUGGUAAAGAGAAGGAAGGAAAGGUUAGAUUAAGGGGACAUAGCUUAGAAUUUCAAGACAUAUGGUAAAGAGAAGGAGGAAAAGGUUAGAUUAAGGGGACAUUGCUUAGAAUUUCAAGACAUAUGGUAAAGAGAAGGAAGGAAAGGUUAGAUUAAGGGAACAUAGCUUAGAAUUUCAAGACAUAUGGUAAAGAGAAGGAGGGAAAGGUUAGAUUAAGGGGACAUAGCUUAGAAUUUCAAGACAUAGUAAAGAGAAGGGAGGAAAGGUUAGAUUAAGGGAACAUUGCUUAGAAUUUCAAGACAUAUGGUAAAGAGAAGGAAGGAAAGGUUAGAUUAAGGGAACAUAGCUUAGAAUUUCAAGACAUAUGGUAAAGAGAAGGAAGGAAAGGUUAGAUUAAGGGAACAUUGCUUAGAAUUUCAAGACAUAUGGUAAAGAGAAGGAGGAAAAGGUUAGAUUAAGGGAACAUUGCUUAGAAUUUCAAGACAUAGUAAAGAGAAGGGAGGAAAGGUUAGAUUAAGGGGACAUUGCUUAGAAUUUCAAGACAUAGUAAAGAGAAGGGAGGAAAGGUUAGAUUAAGGGGACAUAGCUUAGAA